GACGAACGCUGGCGGCGUGCUUAACACAUGCAAGUCGAACGGAGAGGCCCUGCUUUUGUGGGGUGCUCGAGUGGCGAACGGGUGAGUAACACGUGAGUAACCUGCCCUUGACUUUGGGAUAACUUCAGGAAACUGGGGCUAAUACCGGAUAGGAGCUCCUGCUGCAUGGUGGGGGUUGGAAAGUUUCGGCGGUUGGGGAUGGACUCGCGGCUUAUCAGCUUGUUGGAGGGGUAGUGGCUUACCAAGGCUUUGACGGGUAGCCGGCCUGAGAGGGUGACCGGCCACAUUGGGACUGAGAUACGGCCCAGACUCCUACGGGAGGCAGCAGUGGGGAAUAUUGCACAAUGGGCGGAAGCCUGAUGCAGCAACGCCGCGUGCGGGAUGACGGCCUUCGGGUUGUAAACCGCUUUCGCCUGUGACGAAGCGUGAGUGACGGUAAUGGGUAAAGAAGCACCGGCUAACUACGUG
rnacentral:rRNA from 1 species